GAGGGCAUAGCCCAAAGGCAGAGUGUGUGCCUAGCAUGCACGAGGUCCUGGGCUCAAUCCCCAGUACCUCCA
rnacentral:tRNA from 1 species